UACGUAGGGUGCGAGCGUUGUCCGGAAUUACUGGGCGUAAAGAGCUCGUAGGUGGUUUGUCGCGUUGUUCGUGAAAACCGGGGGCUUAACCCUCGGCGUGCGGGCGAUACGGGCAGACUUGAGUACUGCAGGGGAGACUGGAACUCCUGGUGUAGCGGUGGAAUGCGCAGAUAUCAGGAGGAACACCGGUGGCGAAGGCGGGUCUCUGGGCAGUAACUGACGCUGAGGAGCGAAAGCGUGGGGAGCGAACAGG
rnacentral:rRNA from 1 species